rnacentral:rRNA from 1 species
UACAGAGGUCCCAAGCGUUACUGAGAAUCACUGGGUUUAAAGGGUGCGUAGGUGGUCCGUUAAGUCAGUUGUGAAAUCCCACGGCUCAACCGUGGAACUGCUGGGUAUACUGGUUGUCUUGAGCCAGCUAGGGGCGAGCGGAACAGACGGUGGAGCGGUGAAAUGCGUAGAUAUCGGGAGGAACACCUGUGGCGAAGGCGGUUCUCUGGGCAUUACCUGACGCUGAGGAGCGAAAGUGUGGGGAGCGAACAGG